AGUGUAAUUGCUGGGUCAUAUGCUAAAUAUGUGUUUAACUUUUUAAGAAACUGUCAAAUUGUUUUCCAAAGUGGCUGUACCAUUUUACAUUUCCAUUAGCAGU
rnacentral:pre_miRNA from 1 species